UUCAGGGGAUCUUCCUGACCCAGGGAUCAAACCCAGGCCUUCCGCAUUGCAGGCAGAAGCUUUAUCAUCUGAAGCACCUGCUAUGAAAAAGCCAAGCAGACUGAGAGAGGAGCUGGAGGAGGGGAGCGGAGGGAGACACGGAGCAGGCCGUGAGGCCGCGCGAAAAGUGCAGGCUGGAAUAAUGUGGUGUUAAUGGGACCUCUUGAGUCUUGUCUCAGCUCUUAAAGGGAGUGCUUUCAACAUUUCACCAUUAGGCGCUUCUUCACCACCGAGCCACGGGGGAAGCCCAUCGCUGUCUACAGAUGCAUGUAAACGAACCUUUUGGAACCCAGCUUGUUCUUGUUUGGAGUUAGAUCACUUAUGCGUCUUCUGAAAUAUAACCCAUAUGUACACAUGCCCUUUAAACCAAACUGUCUUAUAUUAGACCUGGCAUAAGAGGAUUAAGUUUAAAGGACAAAUGUUA